rnacentral:sRNA from 1 species
AAGCUGCCGAAACUGCCUAUUGAUUCCU